rnacentral:tRNA from 1 species
GCCCAGCUCGACGAGCGUGUCGGCGCGGCUGAGCGCCGCGACGUCGAUGGCGCGGCGGCGCAGGAUCUCCAGCUCGCGCCGGGUG